AGUCAGUGUGGCGUAGUGGUUUGAGUGUUGGACUGUGACUCUGGAGACCGGGGUUCAAUUCUCAGCUCAACUA